CUAAUACCGGAUGUGCCGCAAGGUAAAAGGCUUGCUGCCUGAAGAUGAGCUCGCGUCUGAUUAGCUAGUAGGUGGGGUAAGAGCCUACCUAGGCGACGAUCAGUAGCUGGUCUGAGAGGACGAUCAGCCACACUGGGACUGAGACACGGCCCAGACUCCUACGGGAGGCAGCAGUGGGGAAUUUUCCGCAAUGGGCGAAAGCCUGACGGAGCAAUACCGCGUGAGGGAGGAAGGCUCUUGGGUUGUAAACCUCUUUUCUCAGGGAAGAACAAAAUGACGGUACCUGA
rnacentral:rRNA from 1 species